UGGCUCAGGAUGAACGCUAGCGGGAGGCUUAACACAUGCAAGUCGAGGGGCAGCACGAUGUAGCAAUACGUUGGUGGCGACCGGCGCACGGGUGAGUAACGCGUAUGUAACCUACCCUGUACAGGGGGAUAACCCGGAGAAAUUCGGACUAAUACCCCAUAAAGAUAUCUGAAGGCAUCUUUAGAUAUUUAAAGCUUCGGUGGUACGGGAUGGGCAUGCGUAACAUUAGCUAGUUGGAGGGGUAACGGCCCACCAAGGCGAUGAUGUUUAGGGGUCCUGAGAGGGUGAUCCCCCACACUGGUACUGAGACACGGACCAGACUCCUACGGGAGGCAGCAGUGAGGAAUAUUGGUCAAUGGGCGAAAGCCUGAACCAGCCAUCCCGCGUGCAGGAAGACGGCCCUAUGGGUUGUAAACUGCUUUUCCAGGGGGCGAAUAGUCACGACGUGUCGUGGUAUGACUGUACCCUGGGAAUAAGCAUCGGCUAACUCCGUGCCAGCAGCCGCGGUAAUACGGAGGAUGCGAGCGUUAUCCGGAUUUAUUGGGUUUAAAGGGUGCGUAGGCGGAGACAUAAGUCAGUGGUGAAAACCUGCAGCUUAACUGUAGAAUUGCCGUUGAUACUGUGUUUCUUGAGUAUGGUCAAGGCAGGCGGAAUGUGUAAUGUAGCGGUGAAAUGCUUAGAUAUUACACAGAACACCGAUUGCGAAGGCAGCUUGCUGGGCCAUUACUGACGCUGAUGCACGAAAGCGUGGGGAUCGAACAGGAUUAGAUACCCUGGUAGUCCACGCCGUAAACGAUGAUCACUCGCUGUUGGCGAUACACAGUCAGCGGCUAAGCAAAAGCAUUAAGUGAUCCACCUGGGGAGUACGGCCCGCAGGCUGAAACUCAAAG
rnacentral:rRNA from 1 species